GGGGCUGCCCCAGCUUGGCCGGGCGAGGAGCGGGGCGCAUGGCGCCGGGCGCACUGCGCGGGGACUGCGAACAAAGGGCCCCCGGCGGCGGCGCGAGGACGGCCGCGCUCGGACCCUGGCCCUGGCCCAGCCCUGGCCCGGCCCCCUCCCCAGGCGCGGCGCCCCCCAGGAGCCGAAAAAUGAGCGGCGCCCUGCUCUGGCCGUUGCUCCCGCUCCUGCUCCUGCUGCUGUCGGCGCGGGACGGCUUGCGCGCCGCACAGCCUCAGGCCCCGGGUUACUUGAUUGCAGCUCCCUCUGUUUUUCGCGCGGGCGUGGAGGAAGUCAUCAGCGUGACCAUCUUUAACUCUCCAAGGGAAGUCACGGUCCAGGCUCAGCUGGUGGCCCAGGAUAAAGGGACAAUCAAACUCAAGGUGCCCACGGGCCUCCGGGGCCAGGCGCUUCUGAAAGUGUGGGGCCGCGGCUGGCAGGCGGAGGAGGGGCUCCUCUUUCACAACCAGACCUCGGUGACCGUGGACGGCCGGGGCGCUUCUGUAUUCAUCCAGACGGACAAGCCUGUGUACAGACCCCAGCACCGAGUGCUCAUAAGCAUCUUCACCGUCUCUCCAAAUCUGAGGCCUGUCAACGAGAAGCUGGAAGCCAACAUCCUGGACCCCCGAGGCUCUCGGAUGAUAGAGUGGAGACACUUGAAGCCGUUCUGCUGCGGCAUCACCAACAUGAGCUUCCCCUUGUCCGACCAGCCUGUGUUGGGAGAAUGGUUCAUUUUUGUUGAAAUGCAAGGCCACGCGUACAACAAGUCUUUUGAAGUUCAGAAGUAUGUGUUGCCCAAGUUCGAGCUUCUGAUUGACCCGCCCCGGUAUAUCCAAGACCUGGACGCCUGUGAGACAGGCACUGUGCGGGCCAGGUAUACCUUUGGGAAACCUGUGGCUGGUGCCUUAACGAUCAACAUGACUGUUAAUGGUGUAGGGUACUACAGCCACGAGGUGGGACGCCCCGUCCUCAGAACAUCCAAGAUCCUCGGCUCCCGGGACUUCGACAUCUGCGUGAGGGACAUGAUCCCAGCGGACGUCCCUGAGCACUUCCGGGGCAGGGUCAGCAUCUGGGCCAUGGUGACCAGUGUGGACGGGAGCCAGCAGGUCGCGUUCGAUGACUCCACCCCCGUGCAGAGGCAGCUGGUGGACAUCCGGUACUCCAAGGACACGAGGAAGCAGUUCAAGCCGGGCCUGGCCUACGUGGGGAAGGUGGAGCUAUCCUACCCCGAUGGCAGCCCAGCUGAGUGGGUGACGGUCCAGAUUAAGGCAGAGCUGACACCAAAGGAUAACAUCUACACCAGUGAAGUUGUGUCCCAGGGUGGACUAGUGGGGUUUGAAAUCCCUUCCAUCCCCACGUCAGCCCAGCACGUGUGGCUGGAGACCAAGUGUCUGCAGUGUUUAUGAAGGAGAAUGGCACAACUGAACCAGUUUGGAGAGAUUAUAUAAAGAAAAAUGCAUUAAGGUCCCAGAACAGGGCCAAGCAUUAAGGAGCUUCAAUAAAUAUUUCUUGAGUGAAAUAAAGGAAACACUAAUGGAGAUCAUUGUGCAACCCUCUUGAAGUUAGGUGAAGAAGGUCAAGAACAAGGUGUCAGCCAACUUGACAUUUCGGAAAUGGCUGCAUAUCAGAGUUCUCCACUGUUCUCCACACUUACUCUCUCCCUUAUCUCCGAGCUGGUAGCAGAGGAGCCAGCAGAAGACAGCAAGCCCUUGGUAUAGAUAGAGAAGCCAUGGAUGAAAAGAAGCAGGCCUUAAAGACAGAGCAAAGUAACAUAGCAUUCCUCUCUACUAUCAUCCUGUACUGGAUAGGCCCCCACAAAUAAUCCUGUAUUUUGGUAAACCGAUGCUUGAGGAAGACAUGCUAGAGCAAAAACUACAACUCUGGUCCUCUUGGAUAUUUUAGAUAAGGACUUUACCCACAUAAAGAAGGUGUUGCCCUGGGGACUGGCUGAGAGAAAUUACAGACUGUUACUCACUUCAAAAGAAACGGACUGCUACAGUGGUACUUACGUCACCAGAAAGAAACACUUCCACAAAGAAUUUGAUUUGAUGGCAUCAUGUGGACAUAGAACUCUCAUAGUAAUGACCCAACCUGUGUUUCCAGUCAUCCUGAUGAACUCUCAACAAAAUCAGAUUGUUAUACUGUUGUUCUCACUUUACACCGAUAUUUUCUCUUGCUCCUAAAAAAAGUAUCUGGUAUUAAAUAGAAUUCUGUAUCUUAAAAAACUUGCCAUUGAGAAAAAUGAGAAGUAACUGUACAUUUUAAUACUGAAGGUUUUAAUAAAAAAAGCAGUGUGAA